UGGGGAAUCUUGGACAAUGGGGGCAACCCUGAUCCAGCCAUGCCGCGUGAGUGAUGAAGGCCUUAGGGUCGUAAAGCUCUUUCGCCUGUGAAGAUAAUGACGGUAGCAGGUAAAGAAACCCCGGCUAACUCCGUGCCAGCAGCCGCGGUAAUACGGAGGGGGUUAGCGUUGUUCGGAAUUACUGGGCGUAAAGCGCACGUAGGCGGACCAGAAAGUUGGGGGUGAAAUCCCGGGGGCUCAACCCCGGAACUGCCUCCAAAACUAUUGGUCUAGAGUUCGAGAGAGGUGAGUGGAAUUCCAAGUGUAGAGGUGAAAUUCGUAGAUAUUUGGAGGAACACCAGUGGCGAAGGCGGCUCACUGGCUCGAUACUGACGCUGAGGUGCGAAAGUGUGGGGAGCAAACAGGAUUAGAUACCCUGGUAGUCCACACCGUAAAACGAUGAAUGCCAGUCGUCGGGUAGCAUGCUAUUCGGUGACACACCUACGGAUUAAGCAUUCCGCCUGGGGAGUACGGU
rnacentral:rRNA from 1 species